GCCUGGGUAGCAGAACUGGUAUAUGCGCCUGUCUUAGAAACAGGAAUCUGAAGGUUCGACUCCUUCUCCGGGCACCA
rnacentral:tRNA from 1 species